GCCGGGGUGGCAGAGCGGACCAAUGCGCAGGCCUGGAGAGCCUGUGGCCCAUUCUGGGCCGCGCGGGUUCGAAUCCCGCCCCCGGCG
rnacentral:tRNA from 1 species